AAACCAGAGCAGCAGUAAUGCUGUUCUCAGUUUUCGUGAUGGUUUCCGUGGCAUUCAUCAUUGGUCUGAGCGAUGGAGAUUCUGUUAGUCAGCGCGAGCUCUUGGUCACACAGACAGAGGGAGAAGAUGUGACUUUAAACUGCACUUACACCGGCGAUGCUUAUUACUUGUUCUGGUACCGUCAGUACCCGGGCAGGCAACCCGAGUUCGCAGUCCGGAGGCUCGAGAGUGGAGGUGGUGAAUUUAAGGCGGAUUUUGCUCAGACCCGGUUUGCUGAUACAAUCCAAAAAUCUGACAAGUUGUACCGAUUGACAAUAUCGGAGCUGGUGCCGUCUGACACCGCGGUGUAUUACUGUGCAAUGAGCAUCACUGUGAUGAGAACGAGUGAAAGCCUCGUACAAUAA